rnacentral:rRNA from 1 species
UACGGAGGGAGCUAGCGUUGUUCGGAAUUACUGGGCGUAAAGCGCGCGUAGGCGGCUUUGUAAGUUAGAGGUGAAAGCCCGGAGCUCAACUCCGGAACUGCCUUUAAAACUGCAGAGCUUGAGUACCGGAGAGGAUGGCGGAAUUCCCGAAGUAGAGGUGAAAUUCGUAGAUAUCGGGAGGAACACCGGUGGCGAAGGCGGCCAUCUGGACGGAUACUGACGCUGAGACGCGAAAGCGUGGGUAGCAAACAGG